rnacentral:rRNA from 1 species
UACUGAGGAUGCGAGCGUUAUCCGGAUUUAUUGGGUUUAAAGGGUGCGCAGGCGGUCUGUUAAGUCAGCGGUCAAAUUGCGGGGCUCAACCCCGUACUGCCGUUGAAACUGCAUCCCCUGAGUGGGCGAGAAGUAUGCGGAAUGCGUGGUGUAGCGGUGAAAUGCAUAGAUAUCACGCAGAACUCCGAUUGCGAAGGCAGCAUACCGGCGCCCGACUGACGCUGAGGCACGAAAGCGUGGGGAUCGAACAGG